AACAAUUGUGGUGACCCACGGGUGUAUGGCGGGACCACAGGUGUAGCGCUGUGAGUGGUGGGAUCAGAUGAUAUUAACCCUGGGAGCAAGAUGUUUUUAACCCCUAGUGUUCGUGACGCCAAUGUGGUUUUAGGGUUCCGGAACACCCCACGCUGCUAGUAGUUGCUUGUAGUGCAAUGAGAGUCCACAACCAGUUAUGGUCACACGGAGGCUUUACUGAGUAUAAGACAGAUGGAAUUAUCUUCACAGCUAAGGCCAGAUUUCCCAGAGAGGUGGCCAGGAAUCCAGAAGGACCUCACAGCUUGCUGCACCAAUAUACUUGUAAUUAAUUUGACUUGACUUGACUAUAUGCAGGACUUGACUAGUUUCAGUGACCACAGACAUAGACUUGAGACUUACUGGAAUGACUGAAGCUUUCGGGGUCUUUUAGAUGCUGAUCACUUGGACUGAAAUCUGUACUUGUUGGUUCUCAGUAAAGGAAGAGAAGAGAGUGAAUUGUAAUGGCCGCCCCUUUAUAUAGUGGGGGGCUAGACUAAAGUCCAUUGGUCAAGCUGCGGUUCACAGUUUAAGCUGGUGCUCUCUGGGAGAACAUGUGACAACAAAUCAUGUGACUGCAUAACAUAACAUGUGACAGACUUACACAGGUCCUUGAGACCUCCCACAGUUCCUUUGUACUACCUAUACAUAAGGAUACUGUCUAGGCAUUAAAGUAAUAUACACAACAUUAUGGGACAACAAAUGGAGACCUUGCAGGGGAGCCCCAAGUCACUGAGGGUCUCAACCUGACAGGGCCUAAGGGUAGUACAGGACCAUGUAGUGGAAUGGGACAUCACAUUCCUAUCACUGAGCCAGUUGCUAAACCAUUUACAUAUAUAUUCCCUAGUCCCAGCAGUCUUGUCUUCUGUACUAACCCAUUUUUCUGGAACAGUAUCAAAUGGCUUAGAAAAUUCCAGUUAUGCAACAUCCACAGCUUCACCCCGGUCCAAUCUAUGACUGACCUCCUCAUAGUGCAUUGCCAUCUACGAGACAGCGUAUUUCUGAGCAGUCCUAGUGCCUGCUGGAUUAUUUAAAUGUACGUAAUGUUCACAUGUGUUUUCUGCGCUGACAUUCUGCACAAGUUACACCAUAUGAAGUGGGAUUCUUUUAGUACAGUUUGUUCACUGUGGCAGCAGUUUCAUCCUUAUAACAACACAGAUAUGGGAGGAUCUCACCCGAAUCUCAGCUGGGUCCCUGGAGCAGCCAUGGAUCAGCUUCCUCAGUGUGUCUUCCUCCAGUAGCUCCAGGGUCACACUCUCACUUUUCCUGCAUUCUCAGCACAACACAGACCCGGGUUCCUUCCACUCACUGCCUCUUCUGGGCCUCCACUCCAGAUCGCAGCGUUGCUGGCACCUGUGUGUGCUGUUGUUUGUGUGGGGGCUGCUACGCUCACAGUCCACUGCUCCCCGCUCGCUACUGCUGUGUCAGGUUAGGUCCCUCUGCUCCACCACCAUCCAGCACACUCACAUCCCAGCUUUCAGCGCAGCUGAGCGGUGUCCCGAACCAGCAGCAUGUGUUUGGUCCAUGGAAGGGGCAGGGAGCGGGGGGGAGGAGCCUCUCAACCUCCUGGCAUCAUGUCCUGUCCAAAUGGUCCAAGACGUUGUGAUUAGGGAGACCAUGAAGGCGAAAAAUAUGCUGAAGGAAAUGUUUAGCCAGCUGUGGAGCAGAUGGAAGACGUGGUAACGGAAUGAAGUGAGCCAUCUUGGAGAAUCGAUCAACCACCACCCAAAUGACUGUAUUAUUACGAGAAGGUGGCAGAUCGGUGAUGAAGCCCAUAGCAAUAUGAGACCAGCGAGUCUCCAGAAUGGGCAAAGGCUGUAAGAGGCCCGCAGGUCUCUGCCGAGAGGUCUUGUUACGGGCACAGGUAACACAGGAACGGACAAAAUCAGUGUCAUCGUUUUCAAGGUGUGGCCACCAGUAAUGCCAGAAGUGGUGAGUAGUGCUGAGUAGUUUUCCGUACUCCAGGGUGACCAGCCAACAAAGAAGAAUGUCCCCAAAUCAAGACUUUACGUCUCAGUUUUGCUGGCAAAAAAGAUUUCCCAGGGGGAAUUUGAUGAAGAUCGGCAGGAGCUGCAGAAAUUAAACACUCUGAAGGGAUAAUAUGCCUUGGCGUGAAGUCUAAUUCUAUGACAUCGGAGGACCUGGAAAAAGCAUCGGCUCUGGCGUUCUUGUUAACGGGGCAGAAAUGAAGGAAAAAUUUUUUAUCUGGAAAAGAAAAGAGACCAUCUUGUCUGACAGGGAGUCAAAUGCUGAGCAGACUGGAUGUAUAAGAGGUUCUUAUGGUCUGAGUAGAUGCUAACCGGAUGAGGAGACCCUUCUAGCAAAUGUCGCCAUUCUAGCAAAGAGUUCACGAUCUCCAAUGGAAUAGUUCCUUUCAGCAGGCGAGAAAGUCUUGUAAAAGAAACCACAGGUUACGGUCUUGCCCUUGGAAUUUUUCUGAGUAAGAAUGGCUCCAGCUCCUACGGAUGAAGCAUCUACUUCCAAAGUAAAGGGUUUCUCCGGAUUAGGUCUAGUAAGCACAGGAGCAGAGGCAAACACUGUCUUUAAGCGAGAGAAGGCAACUUCGGCUUCAGGAGGCCAUGACUUAGGGUUAGAGCUCUUUCUAGUAAGAUCCACAAUCGGAGCGAACAAGGAGGAGAAAUGUGGGAUGAACUGACGAUAAUAAUUGGCAAAUCCCAAAAAGCGUUGAAUUGCCUAAGUCCAGUAGGGCAAGGUCAAUCUAAUACCGCCGUCAGUUUAUCAGGAUCCAUCUGAAGUCCUUGAUGAGAAACAAUGUAACCGAGAAACAGAAGACUAGACUUCUCAAACAGGCAUUUCUCCAGUUUGACAUAAGGUGAUUCUUCUGGAGGUGUUGAAGGACCAGACAGACUUGAGAUCGAUGCUCCUCUAAGUUUGAUAAGAAGAUCAAGAUGUCAUCAAUAUAUACAACUACACAGGUGUAAAGAAGAUCUCGGAAGAUAUGGUUGACAAAUUCUUGAAAGAAGGCUGGAGCAUUGCAGAGGCCGAAAGGCAUCACGAGAUACUUAAAGUGUCCAUCUCGGGUAUUCAAGGCCGUUUUCCGUACAUCUCCCUAGCGGAUACGAAUCAGAUUAUAAGCUCCACGUAAAUCCAAUUUGGAGAAGAUCUUAGCACCUCGUAGAUGAUCAAAAAGUUCAGAGAUCAGAGAAUACAUCUGAAUAAUCUUGAUAUGGAAGAGGCAGACCUGGCAUAGGAGGACGAGAAGAGACUACUUUUGACUGGACUGGCACAAAACAGUGAUUAUGACAAAAGUGUCCCCAGCAUGUGAUUUCACCCCGGAGGAGGAGAGCGGGCUGACAUCAUCGGAGGUCCCAAGGGCACACUACUCACCCGGUCGCAGAGACCACAUUGAUAUUUCUUCUUCUUGUAACUCAUCACUGCAAGCAUAGAGCACGGUCAGAAUGAUUCCAAACGAAUCUCUAUAUAGUCCAAGUACAGAUAUUUCGUUUUUCCUUGAUGACUACUGUAUUCAAUGAAAUUCAUGCUGCUCCCUUACCAUUAUUGGUUUACAUUUAUUUAUUUUCCUUUAUUUAUUUUCCUUUGUUUAUGUAUUAUUUGUAAGAUGCAGUCUCCCCCCGACUCAGCCGUCAGGUGUUUACACCUAUGAGCCGGAAGGGGAGGGCUUCCUCUCCCUAUAUAUGUACACCUGUGAUCUCUGUUUGGUAGAUCAGUUGACAAAGGCCACCUGGCCAAAACGCGUCCUGCGAGUCGCUACAUUAUCUUGCAUAUGGAUUAAUAAAACCAUUAUGAUUCAGCAUACCUAGUGAGUGCCGGGAUUUCUUCUACCUACCAUUUGUACCUUUGGUCCACGUGCACCACCACCUAGACGAGU